rnacentral:rRNA from 1 species
UACGAAGGGUGCAAGCGUUACUCGGAAUUACUGGGCGUAAAGCGUGCGUAGGUGGUUUGUUAAGUCUGUUGUGAAAGCCCCGGGCUCAACCUGGGAAUGGCAAUGGAUACUGGCAAGCUAGAGUGCGGUAGAGGGUAGUGGAAUUCCCGGUGUAGCGGUGAAAUGCGUAGAGAUCGGGAGGAACACCAGUGGCGAAGGCGGGUCUCUGGACAGUUCCUGACGCUGAGGCACGAAGGUCAGGGGAGCAAACGGG